UGUCCAGUAGCACCUUAGAGACCAACUAAGUUUGUUCUUGGUAUGAGCUUUUGUGUGCAUGAUCAUACAAAGAACAAACUUACUGUAGUUGGUCUCUAAGGUGCUACUGGACA